AAUAAGAACAUAAUAAGAUUAAAUUCUAAAAUUGUAACUCAGACACAUGGUCAAUGCAGAGCAAAAUAUACAAAGAUACACAAAACAUAGAGAAUGUGGGAGAGAAAAAUCUGCCGUAU